rnacentral:rRNA from 1 species
UUGGUGGAGAGUUUGAUCCUGGCUCAGGAUCAACGCUGGCGGCGUGCCUAAUGCAUGCAAGUCGGACGGGGUUUCCUUCGGGGGACUUACGUGGCGGACGGGUGCGGAACACGUGGGUGACCUA